UUGAAUAGACAGGGGAGCUUGUGUGCAGGCUGAGAGGAAAUCAACAGAUUUCGACCCUAGAACCUGAUUUGGAUAAUGCCAACGUAGGGAUGUACACUUUUAUUAAAA
rfam:Anaerocolumna jejuensis DSM 15929 genome assembly, contig: EJ31DRAFT_scaffold00006.6